UACACGCACGACUGUAAGUGGCUUUGGAUAAAAGCGUCUGCUAAAUGGUAUAUA
rfam:Salmo salar isolate Sally breed double haploid chromosome ssa25, whole genome shotgun sequence.